ACUGACAUGCACAUGUAAACUUUUUAUCAAAGUAUACUUUAUGUCUAAUGUUUAAAAUGAUGCAAGUCAUCAUUGCAUCGUGUGUACUUCUGAUUUGUUUAUGUUCUAUGUCCCAACAGUGUGGAUGCCCAGCACAUUUUACACAGCAGAUUUUUUGCAACUCACAGUUAGUCGUGAAAGCUAGAAUUGAAUCCUCUACAUCAGACCAUACAUAUACUUAUUAUGAAAUAUCUAUAAUAAAAUUUUAUGAUGGUGAAGAUGAAUACAAUAGACUGUCCAACAAAUCUACGCUAUGGACACCAAAGGACAGUGCGGCAUGUGGUCCAGUAGUAUUCAAAACUGGAUCCGAAUAUAUUCUUACAGUUAGUGUGUAUGAUGGAAUAAUGAGCCAUAACCUUUGUGGACUCCAGAUCAAAUUCAGCCAUGCAAGUAAGGCAUUGUUAGGCGGUUUAUCUGGUGAAUACAAGAAAAACUGUCAC